rnacentral:rRNA from 1 species
GACGAACGCUGGCGGCGUGCCUAAUACAUGCAAGUCGAACGCAGUGGGGACGGGUGAGUAACACGUGGGUAACCUCCCAUCAGAGGGGAUAACAUUUGGAAACAGGUGCUAAACCGAUACUGAUGGAUGAACCCGCGGGGCAUUAGCUAGUUGGUGAGGUAACGGCUAACCAACGCCACGAUGCAUAGCGGGCCGGAGAGGAUGAUCGGCCACACUGGGACUGAGACACGGCCCAGACUCCUACGGGAGGCAGCAGUGGGGAAUAUUCGGCAAUGGGCGAAAGUCUGACCGAGCAACGCCGCGUGAAUGAAGAAGGUUUUCGGGUCGUAAAGCUCUGUUGUUAGAGAAGCGGUAUCUAACCAGGAAGCCACGGCUAACUACGUGCCAGCAGCCGCGGUAAUUC